UACGUAGGGUGCGAGCGUUAAUCGGAAUUACUGGGCGUAAAGCGUGCGCAGGCGGCGCGUUAAGACAGGUGUGAAAGCCCCGAGCUCAACUUGGGAAUGGCAUUGGAAACUGGCGGGCUGGAGUGUGGCAGAGGGGGGUGGAAUUCCACGUGUAGCAGUGAAAUGCGUAGAGAUGUGGAGGAACACCGAUGGCGAAGGCAGCCCCCUGGGCCAACACUGACGCUCAGGCACGAAAGCGUGGGGAGCAAACAGG
rnacentral:rRNA from 1 species